CAUCGCUUGAUGUGCACUUCUGAGAUCUGCACUGCUGCUGAGAGGGAUCGUUACGAGAAAUCGAUCUACAAAGCUCAAAGGAAUGUGAUUUUAUGUGCUUCAGCUUGCUUGCUCUACUGGUGUAUCUAUCGCAUUUGCAAAUAUUACAAAGAAAUUCAAAGUUUGGAGGAGGUGGAGAAGAGGUACAAGAAACAGUAGUUUAUUCUUGUUUGUCCCCACCUCAUAAUUAGGUGCACGAAAAAGUAGUGCUUUACCUUAUGUGGGAAACUUGUUUCACUUCCAGAGACUUUGUUGUUAUGAUUUGUGAAUUUCAUGCAUUUGCAAGUGCAUCUCUUGUGCUUGUUGCAUGGUUUUCUUUAGCUCUUAGACUUGAGCUUCUGCUUUCUGUUAUAUAUGAAAAUACAGGAUGAGUGUAGCCGGUUAGGAACCCGGCCCUUUCUAUUU
rnacentral:misc_RNA from 1 species